UACGGAAGGGGCGAGCGUUGUUCGGAAUCAUUGGGCGUAAAGGGCGCGUAGGCGGCCAGAUAAGUCCGGUGUGAAAGUCAAAGGCUCAACCUUUGAAUGCCGCUGGAAACUGUCUGGCUAGAGUCCGGGAGAGGGAUGCGGAAUUCCAGGUGUAGCGGUGAAAUGCGUAGAUAUCUGGAGGAACACCAGUAGCGAAGGCGGCACUCUGGGCCGGUACUGACGCUGAGGAGCGAAAGCGUGGGGAGCGAACAGG
rnacentral:rRNA from 1 species